UACGGGAGGCAGCAGUGGGGAAUAUUGCACAAUGGGCGAAAGCCUGAUGCAGCUAUGCCGCGUGUAUGAAGAAGGCCUUAGGGUUGUAAAGUACUUUCAUCGGGGAGGAAAAAACAAAACUAAUAAUUUUAUUUCUUGACGUUACCCGAAAAAGAAGCACCGGCUAACUCCGUGCCAGCAGCCGCGGUAAUACGGAGGGUGCUAGCGUUAAUCAGAAUUACUGGGCGUAAAGAGCACGUAGGUGGUUUUUUUAAGUCAGAUGUGAAAUCCCUGGGCUUAACCUAGGAACUGCAUUUUGAAACUGAAAUACUAGAGUAUCGUAGAGGGAGGUAGAAUUCUAGGUGUAGCGGUGAAAUGCGUAGAUAUCUGGAGGAAUACCUGUGGCGAAAGCGGCCUCCUAAACGAAUACUGACACUGAGGUGCGAAAGCGUGGGGAGCAAACAGGGAUUAGAUACCCG
rnacentral:rRNA from 1 species